CCUGGUGCUUCUAGCGUGGUGGAACCACACCGAACCAUUCUGAACUCGGAAUUUUACGUGAAACAUCACAGCGGCGAAGAUACUGAUGGGGGUAGCCCCUUGGGAAAAUAGCUCAGUGCCAGGAA
rnacentral:rRNA from 1 species